rnacentral:rRNA from 1 species
AACGAACGCUGGCGGCAUGCCUAACACAUGCAAGUCGAACGAGACCUUCGGGUCUAGUGGCGCACGGGUGCGUAACGCGUGGGAACCUGCCUUUAGGUUCGGAAUAACUCAGAGAAAUUUGAGCUAAUACCGGAUAAUGUCUUCGGACCAAAGAUUUAUCGCCUUUAGAUGGGCCCGCGUAAGAUUAGCUAGUUGGUGGGGUAAGGGCCUACCAAGGCGACGAUCUUUAGCUGGUCUGAGAGGAUGAUCAGCCACACUGGGACUGAGACACGGCCCAGACUCCUACGGGAGGCAGCAGUGGGGAAUAUUGGACAAUGGGCGAAAGCCUGAUCCAGCAAUGCCGCGUGAGUGAUGAAGGCCCUAGGGUUGUAAAGCUCUUUUACCAGGGAUGAUAAUGACAGUACCUGGAGAAUAAGCUCCGGCUAACUCCGUGCCAGCAGCCGCGGUAAU